rnacentral:rRNA from 1 species
AUUGAACGCUGGCGGCAGGCCUAACACAUGCAAGUCGAACGAGUGGCGGACGGGUGAGUAAUGUCUGGGAAACUGCCUGAUGGAGGGGGAUAACUACUGGAAACGGUAGCUAAUACCGCAUACCAUCAGAUGUGCCCAGAUGGGAUUAGCUAGUUGGUGGGGUAACGGCUCACCAAGGCGACGAUCCCUAGCUGGUCUGCGAGGAUGACCAGCCACACUGGAACGGAGGCACGGGCCAGACUCCUACGCGAGGCAGCAGUGGGGAAUAUUGCACAAUGGGCGAAAGCCUGAUGAAGCCAUGCCGCUUGUAGGAAGAAGGCCUUCGGGUUUGAAAGUACUUUCGGCGGGGAGGCGUUACCCGCAGAAGAAGCACCGGCUAACUCCGUGCCAACAGCCGCGGUAAUAC